AUUAACCUUUGCAGAAUCAACAUAAAGAUCAUCUGACUCUCUUCCUAACACUUUUUCUUUAACAAGGAAGCAAGAUCCCAACUCUAAAAUGGACAGCAGCGAAACAUCUGCCUCCCUGGUGGUCUGCAGACAUGAGGAAAACUGAAAGAAUGAUGUUAUGGGAGCACACUAUUUGAUGUUUUCCCUGAUUCCUGAAAAGACUCGGUGAAGGCUGGUCCAGGAAGGAGACAGACCUGAAGUUACAUAGAGGGCAUUCCAGACUGUGGAAGACAGAGGUCCUGAA
rnacentral:lncRNA from 1 species